UCGUUGCAGCCGAGCAGAAGCAACAGAUGGCGACCAACCAGGGCUUUCCUCGGACACCGUGGCAGCGGACAUCGAGACCUGCAGUUCUGCAGAUUACAGAGAAGACAUCCAAGAUGAGCCAUCACAGAUACCACCAGCACUAAUAGAUGCCACAGAACAAAUUGAGGAAACAGUAGAGGUGCCACCAGCGAAACGAUAUGUGAGCAAAGAUUUAAAUUUUCUAGUCAUCCGACACCCUUUGGAGUGGUUAUGAGAAUGCUUUUUUUUGCACAAUCUAACUCAUUGCGCUUUACUGCCUGCAGCCCGAGGACAUC